GUCCGACCAGAACGGGUCCGACGGUAAGGGACGAAGCUCUGGUUCGCGAACCGGAUUAGAUACCCGGGUAGUCCAGGGUGUAAACGCUGUGCGCUUGGUGUAGGGGGUCCUACGAGGGCAUCCUGUGCCGGAGAGAAGUUGUUAAGCGCACCGCCUAGGGAGUACGGUCGCAAGACUGAAACUUAAAGGAAUUGGCGGGGGAGCACAGCAACGGGAGGAGCGUGCGGUUUAAUUGGAUUCAACGCCGGAAAACUCACCAGGGGCGACUGCCACAUGAAGAUCAAGCUGAUGACUUUAUCUGAUUGGUAGAGAGGUGGUGCAUGGCCGUCGUCAGUUCGUACCGUAGGGCGUUCUGUUAAGUCAGAUAACGAACGAGACCCUUGCCCUUAAUUGCCAUGUUUCCCUCCGGGGGAACGGUACUUUAAGGGGACCGCUGGUGCAAAAUCAGAGGAAGGGAAGGGCAACGGUAGGUCAGUAUGCCCCGAAUCCCCUGGGCAACACGCGCGCUACAAAGGCCGGGACAAAGGGUUCCGACACCGAGAGGUGAAGGUAAUCCCGAAACCUGUCCGUAGUUCGGAUCGAGGGCUGCAACCCGCCCUCGUGAAGCUGGAUUCCGUAGUAAUCGCAGAUCAACAUCCUGCGGUGAAUAUGCCCCUGCUCCUUGCACUCACCGCC
rnacentral:rRNA from 1 species